UACGGAGGGGACUAGCGUUGUUCGGAAUUACUGGGCGUAAAGCGCACGUAGGCGGAUUUGUAAGUCAGGGGUGAAAUCCCGUGGCUCAACCUCGGAACUGCCUUUGAUACUGCAAAUCUCGAGUCCGGAAGAGGUGAGUGGAAUUCCUAGUGUAGAGGUGAAAUUCGUAGAUAUUAGGAAGAACACCAGUGGCGAAGGCGGCUCACUGGUCCGGUACUGACGCUGAGGUGCGAAAGCGUGGGGAGCAAACAGG
rnacentral:rRNA from 1 species